rnacentral:tRNA from 1 species
UGGGGUGGCUGGGUGCCUAACCGGGACUUUUAAUCCGCUGGUCGACGGUUCGAUUCCGUCACGCCCCAA